UUGUUGUUGUAGUAUCACAUUCGAGGGGUGAAAGGUUAACAUUGUUUUCUCCAACAUUUCCUUAUCAGUAAUAUUUUCAGCACAUAGAAUCAGUUGUGAUAUGAUUCUAAACGUUUUCGAGUGGUACUCGCUAAUCGACUUAAAGUCUUGAAACCUUAAAUUGAUCCACUCGUAACGAGCACUCGGUAAUAUUACCAUUUUCUGGUGGUCAUACCUUUCUUUCAGGUUGGUAUAAAGGACAAGGGAUCCUUGAUAGUGAGGUACUCACUUUUCAAAGCCUCAUGAAUAUGAUGAAUAUAAUGGCAUAAAAGAUCAUGGCUUUUGCCUAAUCUUGGGUAUUUGCUUUAUUUCCUUCUUUAAUUGUUUCACCCAGAUUAUUGGCAUUCAAAUGUAUUUCAGCAUCCAAUACCCAUGACAAAUAGUUUUCCGAGUUCAUAAAUUCAAGCUUUGCAAGAUUUGUCAUGGUAGAACUAUAUUGUAAAAAAAACAUAUUAAUUAGUACAUAUCAAACUUAAACAACAUAUAUAUACAACGAUGAUUAUUGAGACAACAAUAUUACCUAUUACAAUAAUAAAAUAAUUUAGAUUUCAUAUACUUUUCAAAACAUCAUAUAUGUUCACGACGAAUUAAUUAUGUUAAAUAUACUUUGUGUGUAUAGAUAUAUAAUAUAUUAGAAUUAAGAAAGUUCUGUAACAUGAUAAUUUAUUUACAUUAAAAGAGAAUGUAAAAGAACUAUUGUUUGUUUACGCAUAUGUCAGAGGACCUCAUAAUAAAAGAAAAUGUAAAUUUUUUUUGAUGGUCCUAGUAAUGUGUAUCUAAUCUUAAUAGAAGGUUCCAACAAAAUGCUACGUGGCAACUCUACAUCUCUCCUCACUAAAACCCCUAUGACCCGAAAGUUCCUUUUUUGUAGAUCUUGACCCGAACCAAUCAGCAAACCCUAUUUUUGCUUUCUUCUUCAUUCAUACCCUCCAAAGAUAAUCUUGGUCGUCUCUUACUUUGCAUCCUUUCAGAUUCAACAUUUAUCUGUCAUGAAACCGUUAUCUCCAGCAAUAUCAGUUCUUGCCUGCGUAACCCUCAGUCUGAGAAACAACAGUUGGAUAUUUUAUCUACAUUGGCGGAUGGAAACUUUGUCUCGACUUUGCUAGCGCUCCAUAUGUGAGUCCCUUAAACUACAUAAUUUUAUAUUACUUGAAUCACAUUUUUGUUAUCUACACAUUUAGGUGUUUCUAGAUGGAGGUUUGAAACAACAGGGAACGUGUACAUGCUCUUUUAUC
rnacentral:lncRNA from 1 species